rnacentral:rRNA from 1 species
GCCUGGUGAAAGUGGCAGACGGGUGAGUAACGCGUGGGAACCUGCCCUGUGGUAGGGAAUAACCGUGGGAAACUGCGGCUAAUACCCUAUGAGUCCUUCGGGAGAAAGAUUUAUCGCCAUAGGAGGGGCCCGCGUCGGAUUAGGUAGUUGGUGGGGUAACGGCCUACCAAGCCUUCGAUCCGUAGCUGGUCUGAGAGGAUGAUCAGCCACACUGGGACUGAGAUACGGCCCAGACUCCUACGGGAGGCAGCAGUGGGGAAUAUUGGACAAUGGGGGCAACCCUGAUCCAGCAAUGCCGCGUGGAUGAUGAAGGCCUUCGGGUUGUAAAGUCCUUUCGGCGGGGAAGAUGAUGACGGUACCCGCAGAAGAAGCCCCGGCUAACUUCGUGCCAGCAGCCGCGGUAAUACGAAGGGGGCUAGCGUUGUUCGGAAUUACUGGGCGUAAAGGGCGCGUAGGCUGUGCUGUAAGUCAGGCGUGAAAGCCCCGGGCUCAACCUGGGAAUUGCGCUUGAUACUGCGGCGCUGGAAGGUGGGAGAGGAUGGCGGAAUUCCGCAGUGUAGAGGUGAAAUUCGUAGAUAUUGGGAAGAACACCAGGUGGCGAAGGCGGCUCAUCUGGCCCACAUUGACGCUGAGGC